rnacentral:rRNA from 1 species
GACGAACGCUGGCGGCGUGCCUAAUACAUGCAAGUAGGACGCAGUUGCGAACGGGUGAGUAACGCGUAGGUAACUGCCUAUUAGAGGGGGAUAACUAUUGGAAACGAUAGCUAAUACCGCAUACUAGUAGAUGGACCUGCGUUGUAUUAGCUAGUAGGUAGGGUAAUGGCCUACCUAGGCGACGAUACAUCGCCGGCCGGAGAGGGUGAUCGGACACACGUGGAAUGCAGACAGGCCCAGAAUGCUACGGGAGGGAGCAGUAGGGAAUCUUGCGAAAGUGGGGGAACCCUGACAGAGCAACGCCGCGUUAGUGAAGAAGGUUUGCGGAUCGGAAAGCUCUGUUGUUAAGGAAGCGGUACUUAACCAGAAAGGGACGGCUAACUACGUGCCAGCAGCCGCGGUAAUAC